GUUAUACUCCCUCCGUCCGGAAAUACUCGUCAUCAAAAUGGAUAAAAAGAGAUGUAUCUAGAACUAAAAUACAUCUAGAUACAUCCCCUUUUAUCCAUUUUGAUGACAAGUAUUUCCGUACGGAGGGAGUAUUCA
rnacentral:pre_miRNA from 1 species